GUCCCUGCAGUGCAAUUGAUAGCGCGUUGAGCUUUUAAUCCAAAGGUCGUAGAUUCGAGUCCUACCUGGGAUU